UAGUGCGCAAUAUAAGAGCGUACGGUGAAUGCCUUGAUACUAUUGAACGAAGAAGGACGUAGCAAUCUGCGAUAAGCUUCGGUGAGGUGAUAAGCAACCUUUGACCCGGAGAUUUCCGAAUGGGGGAACCCAGUUUCGAUGAAAAUCGAAAUUAUUUCUAUGAUUAACGUCAUAGAGAAGAAGACCUGGUGAAGUGAAACAUCUCAGUAGCCAGAGGAAAAGAAAACGAAUUUUUACUGAUUUUCAUUCAUUGAUCACACUUCGGUGUGGUCCGUGAAAUGAAGAUCUGUAAUGUGAUUCCCUUAGUAGUGGCGAGCGAAAGGGGAAGAGUCUAAACCUAUACAGUGUUGUAUUAUUUUACACUGAUAUCUUCGGAUAUUUUUGGGAAUAAUACUUAAAGGACAGGCCGUUGCUGUAUAGGUGUUGCAAGAUGCGACAUCGGAUACCUGUUAUGCCGAAUAUAUAUAGUUAUUUAUAGUUGAAUAUUCCUGGAAAGGAAAACCAAAGACGGUGAUAGUCCCGUAAACGAAAUUUAUUUCUAUAUAUAUUGUUGUAUUCUUAAGUACGGCGGAACACGAGAAAUUCCGUCGGAACCAAGGCCGACUAUGGUCUAAGACUAAAUAUCAAUAGUAAUCGAUAGUGAACAAGUACCAUGAGGGAAAGGUGAAAAGCAGCCCGGAGAGGGCGAUGAAAUAGAUUCUGAAACCGUAUGCUUACAAUGAGCCGGAGCCGCCAUAUGUCGCUUGCGAUAUAUGGAAAGGUGACGGUAUUCCUAUUGAAGAAUGAGCCUGCGAGUUAUUUUACGUGGCAAGGUUAAGACCUUUUGGGUAAUAGCCAUAGGGAAACCAAGUCUGAAUAGGGCGUUAAGUCGCGUGAAAUAAACCCGAAACCGGGUGAGCAAUCCAUGGCCAGGAUGAAGGUUAUCGAAAGAUAACUGGAGGUCCGAACACACGCACCGUGCAACAUGCGGUGAUGAGCUGUGGAUAGCGGAGAAAUUCCAAUCGAACUCGGUAAUAGCUGGUUCUCCUCGAAAUAGCUUUAGGGCUAGCUGUAUGUGUUCCCGUUGGGGGUAGAGCACUGGAUGAGAGUUGGGCGGUUCGCCGUACCAUUUUCAAUCAAACUCCGAAUACCAACGAUUAAAAACAUGCAAGUCAGACCAUGGGGGCUAAGCUCCAUAGGUCAAAAGGGAAACAGCCCAGAUCGCAAACUAAGGUCCCUAAAUUAUCACUAAGUGUAGAACGUGGUGCAAAUUCUUAUACAACCAGGAGGUUGGCUUAGAAGCAGCCAUCCUUUAAAGAUAGCGUAAUAGCUCACUGGUCAAGAGUUUGUGCGCGGAAAAUGUACCGGGGCUAAGUGAUAUACCGAAGUUGCGGGUUGCGACAGAAAAUUACGUAUUUUAAUUUUUGAAGCAUAAUACUUUUUCGUUAAAAAAAUCUAAAAGAUUUUUUUAACUAAAAUAAAUAAGCUAAGUGAUAAGAUUAAAAUAUGGAGUUUUCUGUCGCAGCGGUAGAGGAGCAUUCCUAACAGCAGUGAAGCCGUACCCGCGAGGGAUGGUGGAGUGUUGGGAAGUGAGAAUGCAGGCACAAGUAGCACAAAUGCCGGUGAAAGUCCGGCACGCCGAAAACCUAAGGUUUCCAGGGCCACGAGAAUCGUCCCUGGGUUAGUCGAUCCUAAGGCCAGCCUAUCGCAAGGUAGGGUAACCGAUGGAAGAGCAGGUUAAUAUUCCUGCACUUAGUAUGGUUUGUUAUUAUAUGCGCAUCUCAGAUGUAUGAGCGUUGUAUGGCUACACGUUUCGCAAGAUAAAGACUGCGGCUUCGGCCAAGGUCAAUUCAUGUUAAAGAGGUGCCGAGAAAAGUAUAAUAACGCUAGGCUAUAUUAAUUCGUACCAAAACCGACACAGGUGGGUAGGUCGAGAAGACCAAGGCGCACGAGAGAAACAUGGUUUAGGAACUCGGCAAACAAGCGGCCGUAACUUCGGGAUAAGGCCUGCCCCUAUUUAUAGGGGCCACAGCAAAAGACUUCAUGCGACUGUUUACCAAAAACACAGCUCCCUGCAAAAGCGAAAGCUGAAGUAUAGGGGGCGAUGCCUGGCCAGUGUCAGAACGUUAAGGGGAGAGGUUAUCCCGUCGCUCUCGAGCGACAGGAGAAGCUUUGAUCUGAAGCGCUGAUGAACGCCGGCGAUAACUAUAAUCGUCCUAAGGUUUCCGAGGGGAUGAAAAUCAUCUCGGAAAGGACUGGGACGAUUAUAUGUAGUUCGUUGCCUAAUCUUUCAGUAAUGAAAGAGGUGUCCUAAAAAAAAGUUGGCUAUAUGCUGGAAAAUCUGGUGUAUCUAGCAUUACUAUGGUAAAAUAAAUUGACAAGGUAAGAAUAUUCCUUGUCUAAAUAAUCAUAGUGAUAAUAUGACUAGUGCAGAAAACCAGCAGGAAAGACUUACUAAGCUUGGGUGGAUAGUGGGAUUUGUUGACGGAGAAGGAUGCUUUUCAGUCGGAUUGAUAAAACAGUCUGACAGAAAAGAGAAGUCCAUAAUAAGAAAGGGAUACAAAACCGGCUAUCAACCGUUUAUUGAGUUUGCGGUUACACAAGGUGAAAAGAGUUUAGACUCUUUAAAAAUUCUUAAAGAAUACUUUGGUGUAGGAAAUAUUUAUCCAAAUCGCAGACACGAUAAUCAUAAGGAAAAUCUUUAUAGAUUUGUGGUUAGAAAAAGGGAAGAUUUACUAAAAGUAAUAAUUCCUUUUUUCAAGAAAUAUAAAAUGAAAACCGCAAAACGAGAAGAUUUCGAGAAAUUUGUUGAGUGUGUGCUAUUAGUAGAAAAUAAAGAACAUCUGACAACAGAUGGAAUGAUAAAAAUAGCUAAAAUCGCAUCAACAAUGAAUCGUAAAAAACCAAGAGAAAGCUUAAUAAGAAUCCUCAGAGACCAUACGCCAUCCCCCUGAUAGAAAUCAGGGUGAAGAAAUGGUCCGGUCUGUAUGGCGACAUACAGGUUCUAGUUUACCGUCUAGAACGCUAAUAAAUUAUUAUUAGUAACAUAACAAGCGAAAUUCCUUGUCGGGUGAGUUCCGACCCGCACGAAUGGCAUAACGGUGUGAAGACUGUCUUAACCAUGUACUCGGCGAAAAUGCAAGUGUCGUGAAGAUGCGACAUAACCACAACUAGACGAAAAGACCCCGUGAAGCUUUACUAUAGUUUGACAUUGGUAUAUUGUUUUAUUUGUUCAGCAUAGGUGGGAGCCUUCGGGCGCCAGUGAGAUACCACCCUUAUAAUGCGAUGUACCUAAUCUUCUGGUCUGAAUCGGCUGGAGGAGACAGUGUCUGAUGGGUAGUUUAACUGGGGCGGUUGCCUCCCAAAUUAUAACGGAGGCGUUUACAAAGGUUGGCUUAUCCCGGAUGGAAAUCGGGAUGGACGUGCAAACGCAAAAGCCAGCUUUACUGCAAGGGCUACCACCCGAGCAGUUGCGAAAGCAGAAGUUAGUGAUCCGACCGUACGACAUAGGACGGCGGAAGCUCAACGGAUAAAAGCUACUCCGGGGAUAACAGGCUGAUCGCGCCCAAGCGUCCACAGCGACGGCGCGGUUUGGCACCUCGAUGUCGGCUCAUCGCAUCCUGGGGCUGGAGAAGGUCCCAAGGGUUUGGCUGUUCGCCAAUUAAAGCGGUACGCGAGCUGGGUUCAGAACGUCGUGAGACAGUAAAAAUAAAAAACGAUGUUCAUAGAUGAACAAAUUCUUUUCGUAAAGUGCUUUGACAUAAGUCAAAGCAAAGACUGUGCUGUCUAUAAAUCUUACUAAUUGCUGGAAACUCUGAACAAGUCCAUGGGAGAGUUAGAGGACUUGGGUAUCUCACACUACUAUGGUAUAAUAGUGAUAUUAUGCAAAGUAAAAAUGUGUUGAGUGCAGACAAUCAGCAGGAAAGACCGCGAUUAAAUCAAUGGUAUAUAACCGGUUUUGUUGAUGGCGAAGGAAGUUUUCAUAUUGCUCUAUAUAAAGAUGAGAAUAUGAAGACAAAACUUAAAGUGAUUCCUGAAUUUCACAUUUCUCAAAACGCUUGUUCAAUUCAAGUGUUGGAAAGAAUACAAAAGUAUUUCAAGUGUGGAAAUAUAAAAGAGAAUCAUCGCCAGAGAAAAACUGAUAAUACCUAUGUGUUUGUGGUUCGAAAUCGACAAGAUUUGCUUGAGAAGAUUAUUCCGUUUUUUGAACGGUAUAAACUCCAAACAAGCAAAGCGAAAGAUUUUGAAUAUUUUUCUUCAAUCGUCAAAAUGAUGAAUGAAGGAAAACACCAAACGAAAUCGGGAAUCAAAGAAAUAAUAUCGUUGGCAUAUCAAAUGAAUGCCAAAGGUAAAAGAAGAAAAACAAAACAAACCGAUUUGAUAAAAAUUGCGGAAUCCUCAGAGACUAUACGUAAGACCCCGAAUUCUCCGCCAGAGGCGGAUAAGAAAACGGGAAAGAUAUAGUCCGAACUGUGCCGCGAGGUACAGAUCCCGACCAGGUCGGGACACCAUAGAGCAAAUCAGGAUACGGAUAUGGUCUGCAAAGUAACAGAAUUGUCGGUCUCCUAUCUGUUGUGGUCGACGAAUAUUGAAGGAGCUCAUUCCUAGUACGAGAGGACCGGAAUGGACAAACCUCUAGUGUACCAAUUGUCCUGCCAAGGGCAUCGUUGGGUAGCUACGUUUGGCGCAGAUAAGCGCUGAAAGCAUCUAAGCGCGAAGCUGUUCCUAAGAUAAAUAUUCAUUUAAGAUCUGUUCGAGACUAGAACGUUGAUAGGCACUAGGUGUAAGUUCCGUAAGGAAUUGAGCCGAGGUGUACUAAUCGAUCGAGCGUACUACG
rfam:Candidatus Magasanikbacteria bacterium RIFOXYB1_FTLL_40_15 rifoxyb1_full_scaffold_972, whole genome shotgun sequence.